CCCGAUCAGUGCUCGGAGAUUUCCGGAAUCGGCACUACUCGUGUCAAGAUCGAUAAUCUUCGGCCUCUUACGUUCUACAAUGUCGAAGUUAAGAGCCAUAAUAUGUUCGGCUUCAGUGAGGAUAAUGACAUCGUUGAACAGUCAACAAAACCCCCAUCUCCAGCCGAACUGGGCAUCAGGUCGGUGUACAAUCCGGGCGAAGGGAGAGUAGACAUAUCUCGACCAGACACCGC